rnacentral:rRNA from 1 species
AUGAUGUGGAUUAAUCGAUGCAACGCGAAAAACCUUUACCUACCCUUGACAUGUCCGGAAUCCCGAAGAGAUUUGGGAGUGCUCGCAAGAGAGCCGGAACACAGGUGCUGCAUGGCUGUCGUCAGCUCGUGUCGUGAGAUGUUGGGUUAAGUCCCGCAACGAGCGCAACCCUUGUCAUUAGUUGCCAUCAUUUGGUUGGGCACUCUAAUGAGACUGCCGGUGACAAACCGGAGGAAGGUGGGGAUGACGUCAAGUCCUCAUGGCCCUUAUGGGUAGGGCUUCACACGUCAUACAAUGGUCGGUACAGAGGGUUGCCAACCCGCGAGGGGGAGCUAAUCCCACAAAGCCGAUCGUAGUCCGGAUCGCAGUCUGCAACUCGACUGCGUGAAGUCGGAAUCGCUAGUAAUCGUGGAUCAGCAUGUCACGGUGAAUACGUUCCCGGGUCUU